UUGCAAUUAAAAAAAAGAAGAAAAUUAUGAAUUAACUUAAGCGCCAGAUCUUAACUAGGCGAAAGAAGGAUCGGCUCUUAGGAGACACGUGUUGUCGUUUGCGUGACUUUGUCUGACGGAUCUCUCCACCAAAUCGGUCGCCCUCCAGAAACUCUCAUACCUCGCCGCAUUCCACGGCGUCGACAUGGCUUGGGCGGCCUUCCACGCUGUGGAGGUCGUUUCCUCAUCUCGAUUCGCGCACAAGAGGAUCGGUUACCACGUGAUUGCUCAGUCGUUCAGCGAUCAGACGCCGGUUCUGCUUCUAAUCACGAACCAGCUCAGGAAGGAUCUGAACAGUUCGAACGAGUACGAGAAAUCUCAAGAUGAUGAUGAUGACUUCGUUCCCAUGCCAAUGGUUUUGAAAGACCAGGAUGCUGACCCUGAAGCCACCAUUGUUCAAAUCAGUUUUGGAGAUCGUCUUAGGGUUCUCAUUGACACUGUGACUCUAUGAGGGCGUUGAAAGAUUUGGGAUUGGAUGUGAUAAAAGGAACCGUCUCAAUUGAAGGAUCUGUUAAGCAGACCAAAUUUUCUAUAACAAAACUGUGUCACAGUGCUAAUGGCUGGAAGAGAGGUCUCCUUCGCUUCCUUCACGUUUUUUCUUUUCUUUCCUUUCUCUCUCUUUGUUUCUCUCCUCGCUGUGGCGAAAGGCGAAAGGCGACAUCUGUUGCGAUCGGUGGGUGUGUUCGACGCCACGGCCGCGUCUCUGUGGGUGGCUGUCGUCGACGACGGCUAACGACGUCCUCUCUAUCUGUUGCUCUCCUCCACCAAGGAAAACAGUGUCAUCUCACUCCGUUGCUUUCCUCUCCUCAGCGAAAGGGGAGAUCUCUCCCGAUCGGUGGCUCUGUUGGACGAUCAGGCCACGUCUCCGUCGGUGGCUGUCGUCGAGGAAGGGAAACAGCGAUCUCUCUUUCUGUCUCUUUCCUCUCCUCGGCGGAAUCGUGACGAGCUCUCUCUCAGGCGAAUUGAAGGUAAAGAUUUUUCAAUUAUGCAUGUAUUUGAUUUUGAUUUUCUCGAACAGAUCGAGAAUAUUAAUAUGAGGAAUAUGAAAAAUUUUGAUUUGAUUUUUUUCUGUCAUGUUCUUGUGAGAUGGAAUGAUCAAGAGCCAGACGAUUCUUCAUAACAAAAGCCAGAAGAUCAAGGGCCACAUGAUAAAGAUUAUUUGAUCAAGAUGCAAUGUCAAGGUUCGUGAGACAAAAGCCCUACGCUUGUUGAUAGAGGCAGAAUCCAAAGUUUGUUGACUUACUCAAUAGUCAACAAGAUAUUGGAUUUGGAUCCUAUGAAGAUAAUGUAGAGCUAUCUUCAACCCAAGUUCCUUUUCUUACCACUCAAGGAUCUCGUUUGCAAAUUCUGUGGAGCCUAUGAAGCUGCAAGGAGAGAGAAGACAUCGGGUCAAAACGAAAACGAUGUGCUAAAACUAGCUCAUCAAAUAUUUUUCAAUAACCAUAAGAAGAAAUUCCUCCUUGAACAUUCGUGGAAGGAACUGAGGAACGACCAGAAGUGGUGUGAGGUUUCAUCUGUUAAGAACGAAGGAACCUCUAAAAAAAGAAAGUGUGAGGACGGUGGUGAUUCUUCAACAUCUCAAGCAGAUUCUAAGAAGCAUCCACCGGGUGUUAAAGCCUCAAAGGCGAGUGGUAAGAAGACGGUUGAUCAAAAGAAGCAAGUGAAGGAGUUUGAGAGGAUUUGGACAAUCAAGCAGAAGGAUAUGGAAGCUAGGGAACGCUUGUCUAAGAUGAGCCUGCUUGAGAGUCUUAUUGGAAAAAAAGAACCUUUGCAUGAGUAUGAAGAAGCCUUUAAGAAAAAUCUAAUCAAUGACUUGUUCUGAUUCUAGUUGUCUUUCAGUUUCUUGUUCUGUUUAUUGUUGUCUUUCUGUUUCUCGUUUCACCGGAUGUUCUUGUUGUGUUUUAAUCAAGUUCUUGUAAUGCUACAAUGUUCAUGUUUCGUUUAAAUUGGUCUUGUUCUUGUUCUUGUUCUUGUUCUAUGUUUUAUUGGUUCUUGUUCUGUUGAUACUGCUGUUGCUUAACAUAUGGUUUUUGUGUGAUGUUGAUAGUCACUUGUUCUAUGACACUGAUGUUCCUGU